CCCAAUCCCAGAGAUUCCUAUCAUAUUUUGCAUAGAAUGGUAAGAUUAGACAGUAUUCGAGCAUUUCCCGGUUUGGAAAGAUUCUGUCUCCUCUGUAUGAGUAUGCGUGUGUGAAUGUGUCAAUGUCAUACAUAUGUAGACACACGAAUAGAUGCAUAACACGCUUGGAGCUCAGAUGGCAUCGGAGCAGUAUCGGGUGGCGAACUAUUUUAAUAUUUCACUUCGCAGCAGUUGGAGCUGAAAUUCAAAUCGAGGCUGCUGUUUUAACAAACACAUACCAGUAGCCCCCAGGCACCGCUCCACACAGGGCUCCCCAGACGAUGCGGCCUUUGUCUUUGCCAGGGCGACAGUCCCAGCCGCAUUGCCAGACAGCGUGUCUGUGGCAGUGCCAGAAACCCAGCACGUCGACGAGGACGUGAACGGAGCUAAAGCUGAGGCCAAUGCCGCUUCAUUUAUGCAGCAGGCAGCUCUUUUUGCGCUCCGACUGGCUUUGUUGUUGAACAAUUUCUUCGACACCUUUUUGCCGUCAUUUGAAGAGAUUGAGAAAAGCAGAGUCGGCUACAGAGACAGAGGUGAGCCCUGGCUACAUCUGAAACCGCAUUGCGCAUAUGCAUCUGUGUGAAAAAUGGAAAUCCAUUUUUGGCAAUUUUUGUCGCUUUUAGGAAGCGCUAAGACCAGUUCGCCGACAAUCUCCAGGGUACUCUGAUGAAGAACCCGCCAAACCGCCAAACCGCCAGAUCGCCUUGCAUAUUUUCACUUACAAGCUAUGUCCACGUUGCUGGUGCUCUUCAAGCUUGUAGAACGGCUAGCAGACAUCAAAACUGAGUAAUAUUUAUGAUCAUUGCGAUAUUUUUGUUUUGUUGCUCCGUCCAUCUGUCAGUUGAAUUGAAGCUGUUCUUCCCGAGCUCCUUUGUAGCUCGUUGACUUCGGCUUUCGGUUCUUUUGCAGUUGGUUAAUGUCCAUUGGAAUGUGGUUUCUGGCCUGUCGUACUGAUUUACAGAUAUGUCAUUGAGCGAUUCAAUGCAGUUCACACAUGCGAAUAUGCAAGCGUUUUUAGUAUGAAUUCGGCUCGAUAGUUUUCAAAUUCUGGAAUUUGAAUGCUUUCGAGUUUUAAAGAAAACUAUAUACCUAAAUUUAUUAAUAUGAAAGAACUCAUACUAUUCUUGGAAUAUAACAACGUUUACAUUAAAACUAAAA